GGGUUGUGAGGUUAAGCGACUAAGCGUACACGGUGGAUGCCCUGGCAGUCAGAGGCGAUGAAGGGCGUGCUAAUCUGCGAUAAGCGCCGGUAAGGUGAUAUGAACCGUUAUAACCGGCGAUACCCGAAUGGGGAAACCCAGUGUGACUCGUCACACUAUCAUUAACUGAAUCCAUAGGUUAAUGAGGCGAACCGGGGGAACUGAAACAUCUAAGUACCCCGAGGAAAAGAAAUCAACCGAGAUUCCCCCAGUAGCGGCGAGCGAACGGGGAGGAGCCCAGAGCCUGAAUCAGCAUGUGUGUUAGUGGAAGCGUCUGGAAAGGCGCGCGAUACAGGGUGACAGCCCCGUACACAAAAGCGCAUGUGUUGUGAGCUCGAUGAGUAGGGCGGGACACGUGGUAUCCUGUCUGAAUAUGGGGGGACCAUCCUCCAAGGCUAAAUACUCCUGACUGACCGAUAGUGAACCAGUACCGUGAGGGAAAGGCGAAAAGAACCCCGGCGAGGGGAGUGAAAAAGAACCUGAAACCGUGUACGUACAAGCAGUGGGAGCCCCACCACUAAGCCAGUGGUGAACUCCACAUACGCAUCCUUUGCUGAGGAUACGGUUAACGGAGCGAAAGCGACGUUCAACCGCAAAAGAAGCAGAGGGGGC
rnacentral:rRNA from 1 species